rnacentral:tRNA from 1 species
UCCUAGGUGACUGAGCAUAAGUGUUAGACUUUUAAUCUAAAAAUGGCCUUUAAUAUAGGCCCCUAAGAC